rnacentral:lncRNA from 1 species
GGAAGCCUUGGAGAGAGAUUGCUGCUAGCUGAAGGAGGCAAAUGGAAGCCCUGGCCAUAAGGCUGUUAUUGCGGGCUUUAAAAGAGAAGGCACCUGAUGGAGGCCAAACGUGGCAUCUCACUGCUACUCCUUUGAUCAAGAGGCAAAAAUAAGGGGCACAGGAUAGCCAAGAGUUCAAGCCUGGAAUAUUACAUUGGGACCUGUUGGCCAAAGAAAAGGAAGCA